GGCCCAGUGGCGAGAGGUCUCGCACCCGCAUUGACUGCGAGAUUGUCAAAUGUGCUGCGGGCAUUCCUGGUUCGAUUCCAGGCGGGAUCA